rnacentral:rRNA from 1 species
GAUGAACGCUGGCGGUGUGCCUAAUACAUGCAAGUCGAACGAGUCGCCUUUGGCGACUAGUGGCGGACGGGUGAGUAACACGUUGGUACCUGCCCCAAAGUGGGGAAUAACUGCCCGAAAGGGUAGCUAAUACCGCAUAUGAUCUUCGGAUUAAAGGUCGCCUUUGGCGACCGCUUUGGGAGGGGCCUGCGUCCCAUUAGCUAGUUGGUAGGGUAAUGGCCUACCAAGGCAACGAUGGGUAGCUGGUUCGAGAGGAUGACCAGCCACACUGGGACUGAGAUACGGCCCAGACUCCUACGGGAGGCAGCAGUAAGGAAUCUUCCACAAUGGACGAAAGUCUGAUGGAGCAACACCGCGUGCAGGAUGACGGCUUUCGGGUUGUAAACUGCUUUUAUAUAGGAAGAUUAUGACGGUACUAUAUGAAUAAGGACCGGCUAACUACGUGCCAGCCGCCGCAGUAACAC